rnacentral:rRNA from 1 species
CAGUCGCCGCGGUAAUACGGAGGGUGCAAGCGUUAUCCGGAUUCACUGGGUUUAAAGGGUGCGUAGGCGGGCAGGUAAGUCAGUGGUGAAAUCUUCGAGCUUAACUCGGAAACUGCCGUUGAUACUAUCUGUCUUGAAUAACGUUGAGGUGAGCGGAAUAUGUCAUGUAGCGGUGAAAUGCUUAGAUAUGACAUAGAACACCGAUUGCGAAGGCAGCUCACUAAACGCUCAUUGACGCUGAGGCACGAAAGCGUGGGGAUCAAACAGGAUUAGAUACCCCUGUAGUCCCUGUCUCUUAUAC